rnacentral:pre_miRNA from 1 species
UACAAUAUUUUGACUAUUCGUCUUAUUUGAAAUUCUUUUACGAUUAAUAUUUUUAUUCUUAUAGAUAAUAAAACAUGAAUAAUACUUUAUGCGAAUUUAUUUAAUUUUUUUAAUAAAUUUUUUAUAUAAGACGAAUGGUUAAAUGUUGGACAUGAAAA